CCUACGGGUGGCAGCAGUGAGGAAUAUUGGUCAAUGGGCGGAAGCCUGAACCAGCCAAGUAGCGUGCGGGAUGAAGGCCCUACGGGUCGUAAACCGCUUUUGCACGGGGAUAACACCCUCCACUUGUGGAGGUCUGCAGGUAUCGUGCGAAUAAGGGCCGGCUAAUUCCGUGCCAGCAGCCGCGGUAAUACGGAGGGCCCGAGCGUUAUCCGGAUUCAUUGGGCUUAAAGGGAGGGUAGGCGGGCGUGCAAGGGGGCUGUAAAAUCGCGGGGCUAAACCGCGCACCGCAGUUGAAACUGGACGCCUUGAGUUCACAACAGGCAGGCGGAAUUCGUGGUGUAGCGGUGAAAUGCAUAGAUAUCACGAGGAACACCGGUUGCGAAGGCAGCUUGCCGGGGUGCGACUGACGCUGAGGCUCGAAGGUGCGGGUAUCAAACAGGAUUAGAUACCCCUGUAGUC
rnacentral:rRNA from 1 species